UUGAUUUUCCUGCUCCUCGGAUGUUGCCUGACCUGCUGUGCUUUUCCAGCACCACUCUAAUGUUAACAGGCAUCCGUAUUCAAACUGAAAACUUACAGCUGGAGGAAUUGGUUUUCAUGCUAUUACAAGAAAAAAAUGGAUCACACUGCCAGUGAAUUCCAUUUGGGUUGAUUCCAAAAGUAAGCUGGUGGUAUAAAGAGGACAUUUGGCACUGUGCUUGUUCAUCUCAACUGAACUGAUAACUUCCUCAUGGAAUUUAAAGACCACCAAGUUACAAGCUUAAUCAGAACAAAAGCAUUUAAGAUAUGACUCUAUGAAAUCCUGCGGUCAGCUUUAAUGUAAUUCUACUCAAAGGUAUGAGUAGCAUAAUGCAUUUGGGUAAAUAUGUACAUCUUGUUUAUUUCUUUCAAUUAUUGUAUAUAUGAUAUUGUCCAGAUAGUAAUAUUCUUUUCAUCUCAAAAUAAUCCCUAACCUCACUUACUUCCUCUAAAAUAAUAAAAAGAGAAUUAUAAUUUACAGAAGUAUCAUUUUGGAACUUUUGCCUCAAUACAACCACAUAGGUUUUCUUUUCAUUCCCUCUUUCUCAGUUAAGUCUUGUUUUGCAGCACAUUUCUGAAUAUUUCAGAUUUGAGGCUGCAUUUAUGAAAUGCCACUGUUAAUUGUUGGUUUUCUUUUGACAUGUUCAGCUCUUCUCUUUCAAAGUCUGGACAAUACCAGCUAACACUGCCUGACAGCUGUAGCACUUCCAUGUGCUCUCACUAAUUUGUUUGCAUUGGGCCCCUGUUUAUAACUUAUUCUGUCAAUGCUGCGUGUGCCUGACAGCCGAGCAAGCCAGAGCAUUGCAGAAAGUCUGUGUCCAUUCAGGCUUCAGUACUGCUUAAAGGCAUUGUCAUUGUCCCAGAACCUCACAGAAAAGAAGGCCAGAUGAACUGGCAGAGCCAACUUUGCUUUCCUGCCAGCUCUAGGGAGCUUGCCCACAGCUAGUAGCCAUAUGUUCAGUCCUAAAACACAGAAAGAAGCACAUUUGUGAGGAAUGUUGUUAGAAUUAUUCAUUGAAUUGGAACAUACAGCACCGAAGUGAUAGAAUUCCAAAACACAGUCAGUUUGUUCACCUCAAAAUUAAUCUUUGCUUAGAAUUUUCUUUUCCUUUUUACUUCAUUUUUUCCAUUGCUCAGUGUUAUGUUUCACUAGAUAUUUACCAGAUUUAACAUGUAUAACUUUACCAUUGCUCAGUGUUAUGUUUCACUAGAUAUUUACCAGAUUUAACAUGUAUAACUUGACCAUUACUCAGUGUU